AUACGGCCCAUAUUCCUACGGGAAGCAGCAGUAGGGAAUCUUCCACAAUGGACGAAAGUCUGAUGGAGCAAUACCAUGUGAACGAUGAAGGUCUUUUUGAUUGUAAAGUUCUUUUAUGAGGGAUAACAACUGAUAGUACCUCAUGAAUAAGUGACAGCAAACUAUGUGCCAGCAGCUGCGGUAAUACAUAGGUCGCAAGCAUUAUUCGGAUUUAUUGGGCGUAAAGCAAGCGCAGGCGGAUGUGUAAGUUCUGUGUUAAAAGUAGCUACUUAAUAGUUGUUUGCACCGAAUACUACAUGUCUAGAAUGUGGUAGGAAGUUUUGGAAUUAAACAUGGAGCGGUGGAAUGUGUAGAUAUGUUUAAGAACACCGGAGGCGAAGGCGAAAACUUAGGCCAUAAUUGACGCUUAGGCUUGAAAGUGUGGGGAGCAAAUGGGAUUAAAUACCCCAGUAGUCCACACCGUAAACGAUGGGUAUUAGGUAUUGGGGUUUGAGCCUCAGUGCUGUAGCUAACGUGUUAAAUACCCCGCCUGGGUAGUACAUAUGCAAAUAUGAAACUCAAAGGAAUUGACGGGGACCUGAACA
rnacentral:rRNA from 1 species